rnacentral:rRNA from 1 species
AGCAGCCGCGGUAAUUCCAGCUCCAAUAGCGUAUAUUAAAGUUGUUGCAGUUAAAAAGCUCGUAGUUGAAUUUCGGGACCAGUAUGUUGGUCGUGCUUCGGUACGUACUGUCAUUACUGGUUUCUCCCUUCUGAAGAACCUUGAUGUCAUUAAUUUGGUGUCUUGGGGAAUCAGGACUGUUACUUUGAAAAAAUUAGAGUGUUUAAAGCAGGCAUACGCUUGAAUACAUUAGCAUGGAAUAAUGAAAUAGGACGUUUGAUUCUAUUUUGUUGGUUUCUAGGAUCGACGUAAUGAUUAAUAGGGAUAGUUGGGGGCAUUAGUAUUCAAUUGUCAGAGGUGAAAUUCUUGGAUUUAUUGAAGACUAACUACUGCGAAAGCAUUUGCCAAGGAUGUUUUCAUUAAUCAAGAACGAAAGUUAGGGGAUCGAAGACGAUCAGAUACCGUCGUAGUCUUAACCAUAAACUAUGCCGACUAGGGAUCGGAUGAUGUUAUUUUUAANGACUCAUUCGGCGCCUUACGG